rnacentral:rRNA from 1 species
UGGGGAAUAUUGCACAAUGGGCGCAAGCCUGAUGCAGCAACGCCGCGUGAACGAUGAAGGUCUUCGGAUCGUAAAGUUCUGUUGCAGGGGAAGAUAAUGACGGUACCCUGUGAGGAAGCCCCGGCUAACUACGUGCCAGCAGCCGCGGUAAUACGUAGGGGGCUAGCGUUAUCCGGAUUUACUGGGCGUAAAGGGUGCGUAGGUGGUCUUUCAAGUCGGUGGUUAAAGGCUACGGCUCAACCGUAGUUAGCCUCCGAAACUGGAAGACUUGAGUGCAGGAGAGGAAAGUGGAAUUCCCAGUGUAGCGGUGAAAUGCGUAGAUAUUGGGAGGAAAACCAGUAGCGAAGGCGGCUUUCUGGACUGCAACUGACACUGCGGCACGAAAGCGUGGGUAGCAAACAGG